rnacentral:tRNA from 1 species
GGUUUUAUAUUCAAAUUAUGAUUUUAGACUGCAAUUCUAAAGGUGUAAAUAUAAUUUUACUAAGACCU